GAUGUUGUAGGCUGGAAGUUUACUUCUAAGAAAAUCUUUACCACCAAGUCAGUAUAUGAGUGGAUGGAAAAAGACCUGGCCGGACCUAACUAUAAGUGGGUUUGGAAAGCAAAGAUUCCCCUGAAGAUUAAAAUCUUCAUUUGGCAACUUUUCCAAAAUGCGGUUCUUACUAGAGAUAAUAUGCGUAAAAGAAGCUGGCCUGGUAAUCCUUCUUGUUUGUUUUGUCGUGACGGUGAAACUGCUAGACACAUAUAUUUUGGCUGUGUGUUUGCUCGUUCGGUGUGGGGAACUUUUGGUUUGGCCUUGGGGGCAGCUAGUUGCCCCAGAUCCCUUCACUAG
rnacentral:rRNA from 1 species